rnacentral:rRNA from 1 species
UACGAAGGGAGCUAGCGUUGUUCGGAAUCACUGGGCGUAAAGCGCACGUAGGCGGACUUGUCAGUCAGGGGUGAAAUCCCGGGGCUCAACCUCGGAACUGCCUCUGAUACAGCAAGUCUUGAGUCCGGAAGAGGUGGGUGGAAUUCCUAGUGUAGAGGUAAAAUUCGUAGAUAUUAGGAAGAACACCGGUGGCGAAGGCGGCCCACUGGUCCGGUACUGACGCUGAGGUGCGAAAGCGUGGGGAGCAAACAGG